AAGAACAGUGCGUAUAAGUGCAUCAGAGCGAGUAAGGUAUAGAGUGUCAGCAGUGUCCCGGCAUACUGGGUAGACCUUGAAGGGCAUAGACAGGGCGCAGAAAUGACGAUAUCAAAAACGGAAAAAAAAUCUUCAGAUGCAUAAAAUGCUAGUUACGAUACUGUGUGAAAGAAAUGUUUUUGGAAGAUGAAGAAAAUUUUCGUGAAUACUGACAUGUAAAAACUAAAAAGAAUUAUAGUUAAAAUAUAUUUAGUGUUACCAAUCUUUA